AUGUGGAUCAAGGCUGGAGGAUGACAAGCUCCUGACUGAUAGAUACAUGGAGACUUCGCUGGUGAUUUAUUGGCUUUCUGCACCUGACGAGAACCACUAGGCCUAUCUGAGGAGGGAAAUAUAUGGGCUUUCCUGACUCCAAGUGGCAGCCCCGGGGCGAGCAUGUGAUGUCAAGCUGGGCAGAGGAAAGCGGAGCUGUGCACCGGCCUGUGUACUGUAAGCCGGCCCGGGUCGUAAAAGUGUCAGCACGCGAUAUAUUUCUUGCAGGGGAUCCUCUCUGGCUCUUGCCAGCGCCUCUCCCCCGUGGCUGGCAGCCGCCCUAGCCGGGCCUGCAAACAGCGGAUGCCCCAGGUCGCUAUCCCUCCGCCCUGCCCCGGAGCGCCGGGCCCUCACGUUCUCGCUCCAGCCUGGGGUCUCUCACGUGGCAUCUGGCCCUGGGGACGGUGCAGCGGAGGAGUUAAUUGCUGUCACUCCUGACUUCAGCGAAAGAGGUCGAUCGUGGGGCUUCUUCCUCGGGGUUAGCAGGGGCCUGGAGUGGAUGUUUAGUCUACCGGUCAGACUCCAGGUCUUAUAUCUUGAAACUGUAAGUCCCUGAAUUCACAGACAAUUCAGAGUAAGGAUGGAGGCAAAGAAGAGGACCUUGGGUUUACUGUUCACGAGAUGACCUCAUAAAGGUGUUCAGUGAUGAAGAGGAGUGGCUGAAGAGAUGGCUGUCUAGAGUCAACACAAACCUACCCCAAAGUUUGACCUUUGCCUUAAGUCAGUAACUGAGGAGGGCCACGGUCCUGAGUUCAGUCCAGACCCCAGGAAGAUUCAGAGCCUGCAGUUGUCCUCUGGUUUCUAAAGUAUGUUAUUGGGCUAAAGAUUUCAAGACAUUUAUCCUUCUUUGCUUUCUAUCGCAGCCAUUAAAUGUUUUAGAUAUUUUCUGCCAGAAGGCAGGAAUCAUGAAGAUAACAAAUAUUAAAGACAAAACCAAAUAACUUUUAAUGAGAAGGUCAGUCCGUGGUUUGAGUCUUUGGAAAGAAAUCAAGAACUCUGACUAUACUUGCUAUUUGACCAUUGAUUCUCUAGUGGAAAUGGGCAAAUCUUUUAUACCAGGGCAAAUUUUUCAGUAACGGGCCAGACAGCAAAUAUUUUAGGAAUUGUGGGCCAUACAGUCUCUCUCCCAACUACUUAACUCUUCAGCAUAGCAUAAAAGCAGCCAUAAACAAUACUACAACAAGUAUGGCUGCAUUCCAAUAAAACUUUAUUUACAAAAAUAGGCAGCACGCCAGAUUUGGCCCACAAGCUAUAGCUUUCUGACCCCUGCUUUGCCAAACUCAAUAACAAACAGAGAGGGAGACUCUUUUAAAAAAAUUAUAUUCAUUUGGGAGUAGCAUUGCAAUGGGAAUACGUGUGCCAUAGCAAAUUAUGAGCGUAUUCAAAGAGAUUGGGGCAAGGGGAAGUUUAUAAAGGCAAAACGAAGAGGAUUACAAUUGUUCAAAUCAAUUAUCCUUGGCUACAAGGGUGGCACAAGUCCAAGCUUGAACAGGCAGUUGCUAGACAGACAUCCUUACAGAAGUAUUUUCUGUGUAAGGUUGCAGUGGUCUUUUUGCAAAGCUAUAGUAAAUCACAGGGGUCAGUACAACCGUAGUGCAAUGGAUAAGCCUUGCCCUCGGAAAAUCUUCGUGAUCAUGGUAUCUCCCCUGCCAAAUAAAUAUUGUGACAGUUCUUAUCAGGCAUUCAUGUGUAAGAACUCUCCCUUGAUGGCCUUCCCUGGCUCCAUUUGCCAGGGUUUUAACAUAAAUUACUCCAUUUUGAUUCGGACAACUUUCAUAACUGCUUACCAUCUGUGCCUCUGUGUAUAAAAGUGGACAUACUAAAAUUUUUCCUUAGGGCUACAACUAAACAUCCAGCCUAGCCCUUAGCCAGCACCAAGGAAGAGGCCUGGGGGAUAGAGGAACAAAUAAUGAGACCAAGUCAGGCCAUCCCCCAUGGGGUGAGGCCUGCAGGUAGGUGGGCCCAGUGUGGUGUACCUCUAGCACAGUGCCUGGCACAAAAUUGCAGUUUAUUUUCUGAAUAAAUAACUCUUGGAUCAAUUGGUUGCUCUCUGGGAAUGUGACUUUGCUGUUGAGUUGUGCAGAGUACUCUCUGUCUCCAAGCCAAUCCCAGCUUCAGUAUCUCACCCCACAAUCCACAUUUCCCAGUGUCUGGAGUAACAACAAUGACCUGGGGCUGGGCUCUCAGCAAGUCAAACCCUGCCUCAACAAACCCAAACUGCUUUGGGGACCAAUGUGAUGCAAAUGUGUACUGAAUCCCCUGAAUUCCCCCUGGUGAUCCUGUCCUGUAACAGGCCCUCCCCAUCCCCUCAGGCCAGUGCAUUCAGGAAAUCAGUGACCACAGGAUGGUUUCUCAGCUGGAGGGAAGGUCAGCCUGCAUCUGAGCAUCUUAGAACAUGUUAUUUUGUUCCCACUGGUCAAUCCCGUCCAAGCUGUACACAUAGUGCCUAAGCCACGUUUGUUACUGCAGGCCUGUCUUCGGAAAGGUCACUGAACAGAAGGAGGAGGCACCUUACUCUCUUUUGUUACGUCUUCACCACUUUUGUCUAAAGGGAAGUUUAGCUGGAGGGCUGAGCACGCAGACAGGUUUCUGACUGUGCCACAUAGAUCCCACAUUGCUUCUCUGCCAUGAUUUAUCAUCUGUGACUUGACAUGUUCUGCACACACGGGCAUGUUGUACACAUUGAGACAUGCUUCCUGCAUUCAAAGAUUUUCCCAUAUUGAGGGCAUUUUCCUGGUGCAGAAUUGAAGACUGAAUUGAGGCAUUCAGAUUGACCUCAACAUCUACGGGUCUGGAGGAGGUUUGGGACGUUUCCUUUUCUUCUCUUCAGGGGCCCACUCCUGUUGUAAAGAGCAGCAGCAUUUAUAAUGAGGGCCCAGGAAAUGCGGGGGAGAGGGGAGAGCCUGCUAUCUCUGCAGUGGGUGACUGUUGUUUCCCUGAUCAACAAUGUAUCAUAUCCCAGCCUAAGCCUGCCUUUCUCCUUCCCCCUCCACAUGGGGAGGGGCCGUGGGCUCAGAGCUCACCUGGAAUGCCUCUGGUUGCUGAAGGGCUGGAUGGAGACUCUGAGACAACCUGAUGGAUCAUCUCAUAAACAGAGCCUGCAGGAAGGAAAAGAAAAUUAUGCCAGCAUAAUGCACUUACGAGAAAUAGAUACGUGCGGUGCAGGGAGAAAUGCUUUGAUAUUAAAAUUUUUGUAACUUAAAAAGGCAUGAAAAAUGAUACCGACCACUAACUAAUCAACAUUCCUUUGCGAAUACAGCUUCAGUUCCUAACCAAAAACACAUCCCUGCUAUUGUCUUGUCUGGAUCCAGAUGCAAACAUGAUUAAUUAAGUUUCUGGUGAGGAGUGGGACGAGGGCAGUGGGAACUGAUGGCUUGCUGAGGAUCCUUUUCAUAUACAGGCCUGGGGAGAAUCCCUUAGUCUGGGUGCCUAUUUCCCUCCACAUGUCAGGGCUUACCCCGUGCACUGACAGCCACGGGGGCAGUGAGUAGGCUGCAGCCAGACCCAUGGAGUGAGGCAGUGAGAGGCUGAAAGGAGAGGCUCUACAGACAGUACAGGGAGGCUCUUGGUAUCUCCCAUUGCCACUGCACAGCACAGCACGGCAGAGUAGCAAACGCAUAUGCCAUGUCUUGUUGGGAGACCUGGGCCCUGCUCCAGACUGCUACCAAGUAGUUUGGGACCUUGGAUGAGCUGCCUCAAUUUCUCCAUUUGUGAAAUUGGGAGGUGACAGCGUGCUGGCAGCCCUCGCAGCCCUCGCUCUCGGCCUUGGUGCCUGCCUACUCUGGCCGCCCUUGAGGAGCCCUUCGGCCCACGGCUGCACUGUGGGAGCCCCUUUCUGGGCUGGCCAAGGCUGGAGCCAGCUCCCUCAGCUUGCCGGGAGGUGUGGAGGGAGAAGCGCGGGCAGGAACCAGGGCUGCUCAUGGGGCUUGCCGGCCAGCGCGAGUUCUGGGUGGGCAUGGGCUCAGUGCCUGCGCACUCUGAGCGGCCGGCAGGCCUGCGAACCCCGGGCAGUGAGGGGCUUAGCUCCUGGGCCAGCAGCUGCUGUGCUCAAUUUCUCGCCGGGCCUUAGCUGCCUCCCCGCGGGGCAGGGCUCGGGACCUGCAGCCCACCAUGCCUGAGCCUCCUCCCGCCGUGGGCUCCUGUGUGGCUGGAGCCUCCCCGAGGAGCACCGCCCCCUGCUCCACCGCUCCCAGUCCCUCAACCACCCAAGGGCUGAGGAGUGCGGGCGCAUGGCACGGGACUGGCAGGCAGCUCCACCUGCGGCACCGGUACCGGAUCCACUGGGUGAAGCCAGCUGGGCUCCUGAGUCUGGUGGGGACUUGGAGAACCUUGGUGUAGACACUCUGUAUCUAGCUAAUCUAGUGGGGAUGUGGAGAACUUUUGUGUCUAGCUAAGGGAUUGUAAAUACACCAGUCGGCACUCUGUAUCUAGCUCAAGGUUUGUAAACACACCAAUCAGCACCCUGUGUCUAGCUCAGGGUUUGUGAAUGCACCAAUGGACACUCUGUAUCUGGCUACUCUGAUGGGGACUAGGAGAACCUUUGUGUCUAGCUCAGGGAUUGUAAACGCACCAAUCAGCACCCUGUCAAAACGGACCAUUCAGCUCUCUGUAAAACAGACCAAUCGGCUCUCUGUAAAAUGGACCAAUCAGCAGGAUGUGGGUGGGGCCAGAUAAGAGAAUAAAAGCAGGCUGCCCCAGCCAGCAGGCACAACCCUCUCGCCUCACCUGCCGCAGUGUGGAAGUUUUGUUCUUUGGCUCUUUGCAAAAAAUGUUGCUGCUGUUCACUCAUUGGGUCUACACUACCUUUAUGAGCUGUAACACUCACUGGGAAGGUCUGCAGCUUCACUCCUGAAGCCAGCGAGACCACGAACCCACCGGGAGGAACAAACAAUUCCAGACGCGCCGCCUUAAGAGCUGUAGCAGUCACGGCCGGGCACGGUGGCUCACGCCUGUAAUCCCAGCACUUUGGGAGGCCGAGACGGGCGGAUCACGAGGUCAGGAGAUCGAGACCAUCCUGGCUAACACGGUGAAACCCCGUCUCUACUAAAAAUACAAAAAAAAUUAGCUGGGCAUGGUGGCGCACGCCUGUAGUCCCAGCUACACGGGAGGCUGAGGCAGGAGAAUGGCGUGAACCCGGGAGGCGGAGCUUGCAGUGAGUCGAGAUCGCGCCACUGCACUUCAGCCUGGGCGACAGAGCGAAACUCCGUCUCAAAAAAAAAAAAAAAAAAGAGCUGUAGCAGUCACAGCAAAGGUAUGCAGCUUCACUCCUGAGUCAGCGAGACCAGGAACCCACCACAAGGAAGAAACUCCGAACACAUCCGAACAUCAGAAGGAACAAAUUCUGGACACGCUGCCUUUAAGAACUGUAACACUCAGCGCGAGGGUCCCCUGCUUCAUUCUUGAAGUCAGUGAGACCAAGAACCCACCAAUUCCAGACACAAAAGGAGAGGUUGGAUUAAAUGUUCCUCAAAGUCUUCCAUUUCUGGCUUUUUAUUCCAGUGCCCAAAGUCCUUCACACAAAGCA
rnacentral:lncRNA from 1 species